AAUCCGUCGACUUUAGAAAUCGUGAGGGUUCAA
rnacentral:tRNA from 1 species